UAUUUUGAAGAUGAAGACGUGAUAACGCUGCACUUAUUGUUGAAUCAGAAGCCCACAUACUCUGUAAUAAAAAAAAAAUAUUAAUAAGUCUGCCAGCUGACCUCAGUAUCAAAAUAAUUACAAAACCUACCGGAGAAAUUCGGAACUAAUUCAACUGCGAUCCGCCAUUUUGAGUGCUCAUUCUCACUUCGAAAUUUAUUUUCUCAAGAACAUUAAAUUACUGGGUGAUAAAAACUUGAGUGCAUAAAUAUUUUUAAGCUUGUUAAUAAAACUGUCACGAAGUAACUUCUUUUGAAGACUACUUUUGGAUUUAAAAAUAGUAGAGGGCGCCGCGAAGAAAUGUUAACAAUAAAUAACAAUUAAUGUCAAUUGAUACGAAUAUGGGUUUCGGAAAAGAAAAUUAUUAAAUGCAAGCGUACGAGAACAAGGAGCAGAACACGUAUUAUAUGGCGUGGAUGUGGAUAACAAAAUAUAAAUGAAUAAAUAGGGAUAGGGAGCGAUGUUAUAAUAAUACAAGAGAGCACGUGCUCAAGAGCACCAGAGCAUAUAGCACGUGUGACGGAUAUCAGCUUCUCAUUUUUAUCCUAUCAUACGACGCCCUUUUACUUCGACCCUGCAUCAUAAGAGUUGACGUGAAUAUUCAUCUGCAUCCGACCUUCUGUUAUUGGUUUUUAAAAAUCUUAAUCUGGCAUAUAUAGCCAUUAGACUAACCAAGAACACCAGUUUGGUUUAUCUUCAGCCAUGGGUUAGGAACUUUUCAAAAACAACCUUUACAGCUUCUGUUUUUUUUCUAUUUAUAAAUAUUUUAUAUUUAGUUUUUUGUCUCUGUUUUUUUUUUUUUAUAAAUUUUUUUCUAAACUAUUUUAAAAUUUGUGAUGCUUUUAAGUAAUUGCUGAAAGUGGAUUUUUUAGGAAUUAAACGUUGACUAUUUAUAAAAACUUUCUGUCUAAUUUUUAAUCCCAUGAGGUAAAUUAUUGACUGGUUUAAAAAUGUAAAUGUUAUUUUUGAGGUAA